rnacentral:piRNA from 1 species
UCCAAAGUGUCUCUGCUCUUGGAGUGAAC